CUGAUAAACUGUGAAAAAACAAGAUGAAUAAAAAAGAAUACAAUGACAGAAAAAAUAACGGGGGCAAAGUAAAGACUUCACAUUUUAUAUAAAGAAAAUAUGCCCUAACUUUUAAUGUGGACAAAAAUCAUUGUUUUCCAUUGACGGCCAUGAAAAAGUAGCCAUGUAUUCUAAUUAAUAAUUUUGUUAGAGACGCAUAACAAGUUAUUUAAAUUUAUAUGAUUACACAUUAAUAUACUGUAGAUGUUUUACAAGCUUUCUGUGGCAAGGCUCUACAAGGCAUGACAGUCUUUCUGCUGCAAGAAUGGGCUAAUAUAGACAGCCAAGCAACUGCAACUGAAAUGAAUGGGAAUGCUAACGGAGUGCUCUCUUGAGCUUGUGUCUAACACACUUCAAGACUAUAUCUACAAAGCCUGACUUUUGGUUCAGCCAGCUUAAUGAAGUCACAACCAGAAGAGACACAGUCAACAGCGAGCGCUGCAACCUCUGACAUCCAGAUCCCCGGGCUGAGACUGAGAGAUUGCAGUUGCCAUGGAGAUCUGAGACACGUUUUAAGCCACAGCUCCACUCUGCUGCGAGGAAUACUACGGUUGCCGAGCCAUGACUGUAAAUUUCGUCCUUCUCGUACCCACUUGACACUCUUCAGGGAAUGAAGAGUAACAGACAAACCACACACAAGGCUGUUUACAGAUGAAAUGUGUCCUCAGAUGAUUUACUCUGAAAGAAGCAGGAAUUGAUGUUUCUCUCCUAGUAGACUCAGCUGAAAGCAUUCAGGACUGAUGUUUAUAAAUGAAUUGUACCUUUUUCACUGUCUUGAAGGCAACUAAAAUGCCUUUUUCUUGUACAGGGUAGCUCUGGCUGAACAAAAUACACUGAUUUCAAUAUGAUUGCGAUAAUUAAGUGCUAUCCUGUUUCGUCUCUGCUUAGUUAACAACACAAAGAAAGAAGCAAUUAAGAUCUUCAGGCUGUUUUUUUAACUGUGUGUGAACCAGAUUCUGUGAGUGACGAUUUCAUUUACUGUACUGUAUUUCAUAGUCAUAGAGCUGCAUCACAAUUGAUUUCUGAAGGCUUUUGAGAGCCUAAUUUUUAUGAAAUUGGUUGCAAGGUUGAGACGGGUGUAACCCUCACAGUCACAAUGAUGAUCAUGGUAAGCAUUUUCAGGCAUCAAAAGGUGAAGAGCUGAGGUUAAACAAAGUGUUACCAUAACAAAAUGACAUGAAAUUGAGCUGGAAGCAUUUACAUUCCUGUUCUUGGGAGGAGUUUGUUUCAGACUGAAUCUUUUAUUUACCAAAUAUACAUCAAGUUUCUCUAAAAGCACAGAGACUUUGCGAAAUCUACCACACUGUAUGUGAGCAUGCAAAUUCUGCAGUUCAAUUUUAUUUUGAAUUUUGUAAUAAUAUACAGUAUUUCUACACUAUAGGAUCACUUAAUGGCAAAGGUCAAAUGUUUUAAUAAUAAUCAUAGUUUACAAAUGAAUGUAUGUUAGUAUAUCGGUGCUCUGCAUCUUUAAGCCAAAAUAGGGGGAGUAAAGCUGAUAAUUAGUGUGAUUGUUAACUGCACCAGCCUUUUUCAAAUAAACUGAAUCACAUGCAUUAGAUGUGUUUUCA
ensembl:lncRNA